UUCUAGGGAAGCGCGAGACAAUACAGUUACAGACACUUUAAGAAACCUAUCCAUAUUUGGAGUGUACACUGUUAGAAUAUUUAUUACCAUUCGGUGUGGGAGAAAACAAUACCGUAUUGCAUGGAUGAUGUAAAGACGAUGCUAACCUAUUCAUUAUUAUUAAAAUAUCACACUAUAUAAUAUCUAAAAUAAAUUUUGAAGCAUUUUAUAACUGUUCUAUUGUUUAAUGGUUUUCAUUAUGUCAAACCAGCUGAACCGGUAAUCAUGAAUAAAUAAAUACUUUCUUAAGAAAAGCAAAAAUUCGCAAAA